rnacentral:lncRNA from 1 species
GGCACUCUUAUGGUGUAUAGGGGUGCCACUGUGAUGUCCCAAGAAGAAAAACUAUGAAAAGAGUUUUUUAUAUUCAUGCAUGUUAUUAAAAAUUUAUGCAUAUGUGAUAUGCUUGAGAUGCUUAGUUAUAAUCAUGUUGUAUGAUUAUAUUUUCAUAUCUUAAAGAUAUGAUUGGAUGCUAUGAUUAGUUGUUAUGAUUGUUAAGAUACAACUAUAAUAGUUCAUCAUUAUUGAAUUAGGAUGUGCAUAAGAUCA